CCAGAUAUAGCUCCAUUGGUUAGAGAGUGGUGCUGUUAACACCAAGGUCAUAGGUUCAAUCCCUGGGAUGGCUGGA